GAAAUAACAAUACAGGACCUUUCGGUUUUGUAAUUGGAAUGAGUUAAGUAUAAACCCCUUUACAAGUAUCAAUUGGAGGGCAAGUCUGGUGCCAGCAGCCGCGGUAAUUCCAGCUCCAAUAGCGUAUAUUAAAGUUGUUGCAGUUAAAAAGCUCGUAGUUGGAUUUCUGUUAAUUACUUUAUAUAAUCUGCACUUGUGUAGUUAUAUAGUAUUAACAUAAUUCAUAUUACUAUUUUUAGUAUGUGAAAUUUUACUUUGAGAAAAUUAGAGUGCUUAAAGCAGGCUUUUGCCUUGAAUACUUCAGCAUGGAAUAAUAAUUAAAGAUUUUUAUCUUUCUUUUAUUGGUUCUAAGAUAAAAAUAAUGAUUAAUAGGGACAGUUGGGGGCAUUUGUAUUUAACAGUUAGAGGUGAAAUUCUUAGAUUUGUUAAAGACAAACUAGUGCGAAAGCAUUUGCCAAGGAUGUUUUCAUUAAUCAAGAACGAAAGUUAGGGGAUCGAAGACGAUCAGAUACCGU
rnacentral:rRNA from 1 species